rnacentral:lncRNA from 1 species
UGUCAUUUAGGUUUAUUUUAUCUGGUUAAUGGAUUAUGCAGUUCCUUUGCUUCUUUACCACUUAUCUUUUGAGUUUUUGUCAAAGAUUUUAUCCAAAAACCAGUCUGAAGAAGGAGGAAGACAACGCUUU